UACGUAGGGCGCAAGCGUUGUUCGGAUUCAUUGGGCGUAAAGGGUGCGUAGGCGGCGCGGUAAGUCGGGUGUGAAAUCUCGGGGCUUAACUCCGAAACUGCAUUCGAUACUGCCGUGCUUGAGGACUGGAGAGGAGACUGGAAUUUACGGUGUAGCGGUGAAAUGCGUAGAUAUCGUAAGGAAGACCAGUGGCGAAGGCGGGUCUCUGGACAGUUCCUGACGCUGAGGCACGAAGGCCAGGGGAGCAAACGGG
rnacentral:rRNA from 1 species